AGGCAACAGUCUUGAUUCUGAAUGUGAUCUAUGAUGGCUUCAAAGCAAAAGAAUAAGUGCAAGACUGUUAUUCCCCUCCUACCCUCAUGUCUUCUUGAGGAAGAUUGGAACUGUCAGCCUUUGGACCCAAAGGGACAGUAGAUGGAUGGGCUAAACAGCGAAAAGAGGCAGAUACUAGAAAGAUGUCCUGCAACCAUCCUUAAAGGAAAAUGGCAGUUGAGGGAGUAAUUGAAAAGAACACAUUAUUUUUAAAGAAAGAAAUGCAGGGCUUUCCACAUCAGUUUCACCAGUAAGUGCUUCACAUCAUAAGAAAAAGCAAAACUAUGGUACAAGACUUCUUCCUAUGUAGUUCUCUGCUAUCUUGUUUUGAGGCCGAGCCUGCUAAGAGGCAGUUGUGCAUCUGUAGAUGUUAUGCUGCAUAAAAGCUUAGUAAUUUGAUUUUUGUGAGCAAACUGCCAGAUCUAUAGAAGAGAGGAAAAAAGGGCACCAGUUUAUUCAACAAAGGUCUGAGGAGAAGUGGCGAUGGAACAUGAGGAAGAGAGUUGAAAAAAUACAGCAACAUCAUUAUCUUAGUAAAAAUUUGACAAAUGUGAUUGUGGGUUGGUGUAAGAGAGGAAAGGUUAAGCUCUCAGAAGCUCUCGUCCCUUGAACAAAAUAGGAGAAAUCUUACUUCAAAAUGGCAACAUACAGCACAGUGAGCUGCUCUGAAGAUUCAGAGUGUUGACCAGGAAGUCACAACUGAGCUAUUUUCUGCUUGUUGGGAUGAAAGUGGAAUUCAGAGAGACUACAUGGAUCUUAAGCAAAAGCAAGCAAAAAAUACCACCACUAAACAAACAAACUGACUAAAAAACAGACCAGGUAAUUCCACAUAGCACUUCAGAUAUUUCCAUAUUUGAAGAUCCUAAACUACUUUUAAUAACUCAGCUAGGUGGUUGCUAUUUUGAAGGAGGCAAUUCGGCUGAUGUUUCAAGUAGGUGAAGAAGAGCACAGGUUAUUGCAAGGUUAAUUGAUUUUGUGACAUAUAGAUGAAAUGAGGGAUGUUUUACUCUACCAGAUAUUUUGGAAAUGAAUAAGUUAAAGCCUCGACUUCCAUUCACAGUGAGGAAGAUUCCUGCUUAUAAUUUUGUA